AAAGUUAAAAAAAAGCUAGUCGGCCCUUACAUGAUGGUUCUACCCACUCUCAAUUAUAUGUCGUUGUUAGAUUAUUGAGUAUCAAAGCAGAUAACAAUGUUCCCCAAGGGGCAAUGGAUUCUGUGAUUGACCUCAUGCAUGAAUUGGUUGACCCGACUCUAGAGAUACCCGAUAAUUACUAUAAGGCAAAGAGAUUGGUAUCUAAGUUGGGACUCUCGUCGGUGAGAAUUGAUUGCUGUGAAAAUGGCUGCAUGUUAUACUAUAAUGAUGACGUCGAUCUAGAAUCUUGUAAGUUUUGUGGUAGUAAACGGUUUAGAGCUCGUAAUAAUUGCGUGCAGCUUGAUUGGAUCCAAGAUGAAUGGUGGAAGGACCUGCUGCACUACUGGGCAACUGAUCCGACUUUUUGAAACGAAGUGAAAAUGGGAAGGCCGCUAGAGCCUCAAUGAAGGGUGGAUCGCUGCACACUAGUGGCGCCACGAGUUAAGUGGACUUGAUGAAGCGGCUGGAGCUCCAGAGGGGUUAGGCGGUACCUCAAGAUGAGAUCUUCAAGAUUACUCACACGAGAAAGGAGAAGAACGCUGAUGGUACAGACCGAUGGGUUGAGCCAAGGGCUGAGCGAACUUGGAACGAAUUUCAACAACACUUUGGGGAGUUUCGAGCCACUCAGCCAAGUACCACGCAGAUGACCAACGAGUUAAUACAGCAACAAUGGAUUGAGAAGGUUGCUCCCCCAACAAGGCAUGGGACAGUUCAUGGGAUGCCUAAUCGAGCCUUUCGUCGAUACCCGUCGGCCCUUGAAGCCGUAGGUGUUACUGAUGAUGGGACAGUUGAUCCUAAGGAGUAUGAAGCUAUGAAGCAUCAAGUUGACCUGCUAACAAGAACACUUAAUUCCUCGGAGGCCAGGAUGUUGGGUAUGCAAGCCCAGAUUAAUAGCUUACUUAAUUCGCGGCCGUUUCCGAUUCUCCCGUGUCCUGGGGAUGCUCGUAGGUCAUAGCCUCCUAGACAACCCCGACCUUCCCAAGGUAGACGACGUUGGUCACAAGCUGACAUAAAUCAUGUUCUUGUCGAUAAGUCUAGUGGGGAGGAUACGGAUCAUGUCUCUAACACCGAACAUUGACCUUUUUUAUUAACGUGCUUUUGGAUUCUAAUUCUGCUAUGUUUAAAUGGAUAUGUAUAUUAUGUUUAAGGGUUUGAAUGUAGUUUUAAUUUGAACUAGAAGUAAUUUUAAUUUUAAGAUGUUUAAGUGUUUGAACGUAGUUUAUGAUA